rnacentral:rRNA from 1 species
AGUGAACGCUGGCGGUAGGCCUAACACAUGCAAGUCGAACGGCAGCACAGGAGAGCUUGCUCUCUGGGUGGCGAGUGGCGGACGGGUGAGGAAUACAUCGGAAUCUACCUUUUCGUGGGGGAUAACGUAGGGAAACUUACGCUAAUACCGCAUACGACCUACGGGUGAAAGUGGGGGACCGCAAGGCCUCACGCGAUUAGAUGAGCCGAUGUCCGAUUAGCUAGUUGGCGGGGUAAUGGCCCACCAAGGCGACGAUCGGUAGCUGGUCUGAGAGGAUGAUCAGCCACACUGGAACUGAGAAACGGUCCAGACUCCUACGGGAGGCAGCAGUGGGGAAUAUUGGACGAUGGGCGCAAGCCUGAUCCAGCCAUACCGCGUGGGUGAAGAAGGCCUUCGGGUUGUAAAGCCCUUUUGUUGGGAAAGAAAUCCUGUCGAUUAAUACUCGGUGGGGAUGACGGUACCCAAAGAAUAAGCACCGGCUAACUUCGUG